rnacentral:rRNA from 1 species
GAUGAACGCUGGCGGCGUGCCUAAUACAUGCAAGUCGAGCGAACGGACGAGAAGCUUGCUUCUCUGAUGUUAGCGGCGGACGGGUGAGUAACACGUGGAUAACCUACCUAUAAGACUGGGAUAACUUCGGGAAACCGUAGCUAAUACCGGAUAAUAUUUUGAACCGCAUGGUUCAAAGUGAAAGACGGUCUUGCUGUCACCUAUAGAAGGAACCGCGCUGCAUUAGCUAGUUGGUAAGGUAACGGCUUACCAAGGCAACGAUGCAUAGCCGACCUGAGAGGGUGAUCGGCCACACUGGAACUGAGACACGGUCCAGACUCCUACGGGAGGCAGCAGUAGGGAAUCUUCCGCAAUGGGCGAAAGCCUGACGGAGCAACGCCGCGUGAGUGAUGAAGGUCUUCGGAUCGUAAAACUCUGUUAUUAGGGAAGAACAUAUGUGUAAGUAACUGUGCACAUCUUGACGGUACCUAAUCAGAAAGCCACGGCUAACUACGUG